UACGAAGGGGGCUAGCGUUGUUCGGAAUUACUGGGCGUAAAGCGCGCGUAGGCGGAUAUUUAAGUCAGGGGUGAAAUCCCAGGGCUCAACCCUGGAACUGCCUUUGAUACUGGAUAUCUAGAGUUCGGGAGAGGUGAGUGGAAUUCCGAGUGUAGAGGUGAAAUUCGUAGAUAUUGGGAGGAACACCGGUGGCGAAGGCGGCUACCUGGACCGGUACUGACGCUGAGGCGCGAAAGCUAGGGUAGCAAACAGG
rnacentral:rRNA from 1 species